rnacentral:misc_RNA from 1 species
GAAAUGCGAUAAGUAAUGUGAAUUGCAGAAUUCAGUGAAUCAUCGAAUCUUUGAACGCACAUUGCGCCCUCUGGUAUUCCGGGGGGCAUGCCUGUUCGAGCGUCAUUACAACCCUCAAGCCCCCGGGCUUGGUCUUGGAGCGCGCCCCCCCGCGAGGGAGGGCGCCCCCGAAACGCAGCGGCGGUGCGGCCGAACUCCCUAGCGCAGUGACUUUACAUCUCGCUACGAAGGGUUCGUGUCGUCCCGGCCGGACAACACCCAUAUUUUUUCUAGGUUGACCUCGGAUCAGGUAGGGAUACCCGCUGAACUUAA